rnacentral:rRNA from 1 species
UGCCAGACUCCUACGGGAGGCAGCAGUGGGGGAUAUUGCACAAUGGGGGAAACCCUGAUGCAGCGACGCCGCGUGAGUGAAGAAGUAUUUCGGUAUGUAAAGCUCUAUCAGCAGGGAAGAAAAUGACAGUACCUGACCAAGAAGCCCCGGCUAACUACGUGCCAGCAGCCGCGGUAAUACGUAGGGAGCAAGCGUUAUCCGGAUUUAUUGGGUGUAAAGGGUGCGUAGACGGGAUAACAAGUUAGUUGUGAAAACCCUCGGCUCAACUGAGGAACUGCAACUAAAACUAUUAUUCUUGAGUGCAGGAGGGGAAAGUGGAAUUCCUAGUGUAGCGGUGAAAUGCGUAGAUAUUAGGAAGAACACCAGUGGCGAAGGCGACUUUCUGGACUGUAACUGACGUUGAGGCACGAAAGUGUGGGGAGCAAACAGGAUUAGAUACCCCAGUA